UUUGCUGCAGCUGCCUCUAACGCCUCCAGAUGGCGCGCUGGUGCUCGUUCUCGGCUCUCAGCGACCGGCCAAUUGCCAGCUGCUGGGGAGAAUGAGCUUGGAGCCGCAGGGCUUAAUCCCGCGCGGCUCAGAGAUGGGUUUCUGGACUCGCGAAGCAGCUGCAACAAGGCAUCACUCACUGUACAAGUAUUUCCAUUUCUGAGAGCAAAAGGAAGAACUUAAGCGGGCGGCACUUGGAGUGUAAAUUGCUUUGUAGUAUUUAAAGGCAGAAUGGAUCCUGGGCAGCCGAGCUGGUUGGAGUACAGUGGCAAGAUCUCAGCUCACUGCAACCUCACCUCUCAGGCUACGUGAUCCUCCUAUCUCAGCCUCCUGAGUAGCUGGGACCACAGGAAUACCACUAAGAUAAUUUUUUCCAGAAUCCCCCCCAUGCCAGUAAUGGAAAAACAAAAUGGAACAAAGGAAAAAUAAGGUUUUUAUCCACAACAUGGCAAUAAGAAAUGCUGGUGAGGAUGUGCAGAAACGGGAACCCUCAUACACUAUUGAUGAGAAGCUUUGGAUGUUUAAAAGUCUGCAGCACCUCCCACCUUGCCCUCUUCCUCAUUCUCCGGCCAUGAGAGAUGUUCUUGCUUCCCUUUCACCUUCUGCCAUAAUUGUACAUUUCCUGAGGCCUCCGCAGACAUGCUUCCUGUACAGCCUGCAAAACUGGUCUGACUCCUUCCUGGGCUCGAGUGCUGUGGCUUGUUCAUAG
rnacentral:lncRNA from 1 species